rnacentral:lncRNA from 1 species
UUCUCUUCUCUUCUCUUCUCUUCUCUUCUCUUCUCUUCUUUUCUUUUCUUUCAUCAUAUUCUUCAUUUUUAUCUACCUUAUGCAAUGGUCUUAGUACUCCAGAAGUGACAAGUAUGGAAAUUCUACUGGAAUAAUGAUCGCUAAAUUCCUCCCAAAAACAGAGAGUCCUAGAGAGUAGAAUCCAGUAGUCAAAUAUGUUCUGGGAAAUAACAAAUUACUAUCAAAUUAUCAAAUGUUUAAAAUUUAUUAUAAAAAGUUUCAAGAUUGUAAUAUUCCUAUGUUAAAAAUUCUGAGUCUUUCCCUCAAAGAGAGUGGGUUAACUAAAUAUUUUAAUUCACUAUUCACUACUCCAGUACUCUCACCUACCCUUAAAAUUGCCCUAAAGAACCACUCUUGCAAUGGUCAUGCUGUGGGCAUCAUGAAAUUAAAAGCAUUGUCUCUUAAAACUAUGCAGAAUUGAGAAAGUGUAGAUGGUGAAAUGAUGCAAAAGAUUCCUAUAGUUUUUGAAGAUGUAGAGUUAAUAUGAAUAUCUAUGUGAUAAAAGUAUAAUAGGUGGCCUUGGGUUUGCAUACAGAGGGGGAAAGUCCAUUAAGAGUGACCUAUUUUGUCCGUUCAGUUAGUCCUGGAAAAAAGGGUUUGGCUUCCUUAUGUACCUAAUUACCUGGGGCCAUAUUUCCUUAAAACUUGACUUUUUUUUUCCUGAUUCAAUUUUGUACCAGUUACUAAUGGGUCCUGUUUUCUCUGAUUUGCAAAUCUGGAAAUGAGCUGUUUGUUUGUUUGUUUUUGUUUUGUUUUGUUUUGUUUUGCCUUACACAACUGAUCUGAAAGAGACAGUAUGGAGUCUUUCUUUUUCCUCCAAUGCUGGAAGUGUGCUCAACAGGGUUUUGGUUGUACCUUAGCUCCAUAGUCACUCUUCUUUAUUCAACAGGAAAGCAACACAGCUCAGACCAUCUGAAUCUUCCUAUAUCUCAUAAAUUCUUUAUACGUAUACUGUUUUUUUUCCAUUUGAUUUGAGAAAGGGUCUCAUGUAGCUGAGGUUGGCCUAGAACUUGUGUUAUAGCUGAGACUCACAGGCUCCACCUGCCUCUACAUCUGAGUGAAUUAAAACUAUGAAUCACCACACCUGGUUCAUAUACUUAAUUGGCCAUUUGUUGGAGGUGAGGAUGGUGUCAGGUAGUAGGAUUUAGACAUCAUUUUUCUCUCAGAAGCAAGUAAGUUUAGUAGGCCAUUGUCCAUGAGUACCAGUUCUCUGUAGACUACUGACAGUUGUAUGAUGCAAGAGAAAGAGAAUGACAUUCAAAGCAGAGAACACAAUGUUGCUUUUGGUUCCAUAUUUAAGGAGUAUAACUUUCAAAAUAAUCAGUUUGAAAAGCCCCUUUGAAUCUCAGGCUAUAAUUUUUGAGGACAUACUUAUAACGGGCUAUUUCUAAUCUUGAGAAUAUUUGGGUUUGGGUGUAUUUCAAAUGUUGAUGUCAGACUGAUAUGAAAAUGCCCAUUAGUGCUCGAAAUCGAGGACAAAGGUUAUUCUAAAAACUCAACAGAUGUAAUAAAUAACUCUGAAAUGUUUUACAACAAAAAUAUGAAAUGUUGUAACUGUUAAGACUUCGAGUUAAGGUUGGCUUAGUGUUAGCCAACCAGCAGGUACAACAGAGGUUCCUGCAUCUAGCUCAUCAUCCUAGCUGCCUGGAGGGAUAAUUUCCUGACCACGAACCUUUGCUCCUCAGAACAUUAGCCUAAUUUCUUCGCAUGCUAUUCUUUAUUCAGUGUGUCUUCAUGGUACUAAUUCUCUCUUUUCAUCAAUAUACUAAUAAAGAUUCUGUGUUUUGUGCACUGUAUUUGAGAUGUCUGAAACUGGUGAAUAAAGCAUCCUGAUGAGAUCUUGAGACUCUUUUUAUAGGGUACCACUUCUACUGCUCCAGUCAAACAACAAGAAAAGACGACCACGAGCUGCAAUACAUAGGCAUACUUGAGGAUUUACUCCUGAACAAAAAAAAAUUAAUGGUAUCUUAGGGCUUGAUCU